rnacentral:rRNA from 1 species
AUUAACAGGAUUAGAUACCCUGGUAGUCCACGCCCUAAACGAUGUCUACUAGUUGUCGGGUUUUAAUUAACUUGGUAACGCAGCUAACGCGUGAAGUAGACCGCCUGGGGAGUACGGUCGCAAGAUUAAAACUCAAAGGAAUUGACGGGGACCCGCACAAGCGGUGGAUGAUGUGGAUUAAUUCGAUGCAACGCGAAAAACCUUACCUGCCCUUGACAUGUACGGAAGGCCGAAGAGAUUUGGCUGUGCUCGAAAGAGAACCGUAACACAGGUGCUGCAUGGCUGUCGUCAGCUCGUGUCGUGAGAUGUUGGGUUAAGUCCCGCAACGAGCGCAACCCUUGUCAUUAGUUGCUACGAAAGGGCACUCUAAUGAGACUGCCGGUGACAAACCGGAGGAAGGUGGGGAUGACGUCAAGUCCUCAUGGCCCUUAUGGGUAGGGCUUCACACGUCAUACAAUGGUACAUACAGAGCGCCGCCAACCCGCGAGGGGGAGCUAAUCGCAGAAAGUGUAUCGUAGUCCGGAUUGUAGUCUGCAACUCGACUGCAUGAAGUUGGAAUCGCUAGUAAUCGCGGAUCAGCAUGUCGCGGUGAAUACGUUCCCGGGUCUUGUACACACCGCCCGUCACACCAUGGGAGCGGGUUUUACCAGAAGUAGGUAGCUUAACCGCAAGGAGGGCGCUUACCACGGUAGGAUUCGUGACUGGGGUGAAGUCGUAACAAGGUAACCGUA